rnacentral:rRNA from 1 species
AUUGAACGCUGGCGGAAGGCCUAACACAUGCAAGUCGAACGAGUGGCGGACGGGUGAGUAAUGGCUGGGAAACUGCCUGAUGGAGGGGGAUAACUACUGGAAACGGUAGCUAAUACCGAAUACCAUCCGAUAUGCCCAGAUGGGCUUAGCUAGUAGGUGUGGUAAAGGCUCACCUAGGCGACGAUCCCUAUCUGGUCUGAGAGGAUGAACGGCCACACUGGAACUGAGACACGGUCCAGACUCCUACGGGAGGCAGCAGUGGGGAAUAUUGCACAAUGGGCGCAAGCCUGAUGCAGCCAUGCCGCGUGUAUGAAGAAGGCCUUCGGGUUGUAAAGUACUUUCAGCGGGGAGGCGUUACCCGCAGAAGAAGCACCGGCUAACUCCGUGCCAGCAGCCGCGGUAAUUC